UACGUAGGGGGCAAGCGUUGUCCGGAAUCAUUGGGCGUAAAGAGCGUGUAGGCGGCUCGAUAAGUCCGCUGUGAAAGUCCAGGGCUCAACCCUGGAAGGCCGGUGGAAACUGUCGGGCUAGAGUCCGGAGGAGGCGAGUGGAAUUCCCGGUGUAGCGGUGAAAUGCGCAGAUAUCGGGAGGAACACCAAUGGCGAAGGCAGCUCGCUGGGACGGUACUGACGCUGAGACGCGAAAGCGUGGGGAGCAAACAGG
rnacentral:rRNA from 1 species